rnacentral:tRNA from 2 species
GCUUCGCUAGCUCAGUUGGCAGAGCGUCAGUCUCAUAACAAUAGUUGUGAAAUCUGAAGGUCGACAGUUCGAACCUGCCGCGGAGCA